rnacentral:rRNA from 1 species
UACGGAGGGUGCGAGCGUUAAUCGGACUUACUGGGCGUAAAGGGUCCGUAGGCGGAUAAAUAAGUCAGAUGUAAAAGUCCAGGGCUCAACCUUGGGAUGUCAUUUGAAACUGUGUAUCUAGAGUAUAGGAGAGGAAAGGGGAAUUUCUGGUGUAGCGGUGAAAUGCGUAGAUAUCAGAAGGAACACCAAUGGCGAAGGCAACUUUCUGGCCAAAUACUGACGCUGAGGGACGAAAGCAUGGUUAGCGAACAGG